rnacentral:rRNA from 1 species
AUUGAACGCUGGCGGCAUGCCUUACACAUGCAAGUCGAACGGUAACAGGUCUUCGGAUGCUGACGAGUGGCGAACGGGUGAGUAAUGCAUCGGAACGUGCCCAGUAGUGGGGGAUAGCCCGGCGAAAGCCGGAUUAAUACCGCAUACGACCUGAGGGUGAAAGGGGGGGAUCGCAAGACCUCUCGCUAUUGGAGCGGCCGAUGUCAGAUUAGCUAGUUGGUGGGGUAAAGGCCUACCAAGGCAACGAUCUGUAGUUGGUCUGAGAGGACGACCAGCCACACUGGGACUGAGACACGGUCCAGACUCCUACGGGAGGCAGCAGUGGGGAAUAUUGGACAAUGGGCGCAAGCCUGAUCCAGCCAUGCCGCGUGUGUGAAGAAGGCCUUCGGGUUGUAAAGCACUUUCAGUAGGGAGGAAGGGUGUCGUGUUAAUAGCACAGCAUUUUGACGUUACCUACAGAAGAAGCACCGGCUAACUCUGUGCCAGCAGCCGCCGUAAUAC